rfam:Erythrobacter sp. SD-21 1101482001769, whole genome shotgun sequence.
CGGGGAGUGGCGCAGCCUGGUAGCGCACUUGUUUUGGGUACAAGGGGUCGCUGGUUCGAAUCCAGUCUCCCCGA